UACGUAGGGGGCUAGCGUUGUCCGGAAUCAUUGGGCGUAAAGAGCGUGUAGGCGGUCCGGUAAGUCCGUUGUGAAAGUCAGGGGCUCAACCCUUGAAUGCCGGCGGAUACUGUCGGGCUAGAGUCCGGAAGAGGCGAGUGGAAUUCCCGGUGUAGCGGUGAAAUGCGCAGAUAUCGGGAGGAACACCUAUGGCGAAGGCAGCACUCUGGGCCGGUACUGACGCUGAGGAGCGAAAGCGUGGGGAGCGAACAGG
rnacentral:rRNA from 1 species